AAGGCACGGUAAAGACCUUCGCGUUCCUUGAUGAAGGUUCAUCGGCGACAUUCGUUGAUCGUGAGCUGAUAGACGAGCUGGGUAUGGACGGUAAAUUGCACCCAGUCAGUUUGAAGUGGACUGAUAACACGACCCGCGACGAAGUCAGCUCUUUAAAGUUAUCUCUGCGAGUAUCGGGUUUAAGCAAAGGUGCUUCGAUAUACAACCUGCCAACGGUGCAUACCCUGAAAAAACUCGAACUUCCAGCGCAGACACUGUCGGUUCAAAAGUUGAGCGAGGAGUAUCCGCACCUCAAAGGGCUUAAAAUCUCGUCCUACAGCGGAAUAGUGCCGCGCAUCAUUAUCGGCAUGGAUAAUGUUUACCUAGGGAAGCCGUCGCGAUGCAUCGAGGGUGACAUACAUGAACCGAUCGCGGUUAAGACCAGGCUAGGAUGGACGGUGUUUGGUCCUUGUUUCUCAAACGCCCUUGUUGCAAGCAAGGACCGUCAUAGCGGCAUCUGUAAACGUAAAGGAAAUAAGGUCACGGAUAAUUCUAUACAGAAAUAUUUCCCGUGCGAUACGAAAGGAAUCGAAACAAAACGGGAACAAGGUGUCCGUCCGCACUUCGCAACACUGCAGCAAAUUUGCCCCAGCCUAACAUUGUUCCGGAGGGACAAUGAACUACAGCUUUCUUGCAACCGCGAGACAACCCCCAGGACAAUCGCAUGGCAAUCGGAUUGAACGCGCAACAUUUUCCAUACAAUCCGCAGUGUUGCGUUUUCUUCGCGCCAACUUUGCCUGUAUUUUCAAUGUAUUUUCUUUGCCUGUAAUUCAAUUUUAUUGCACUACAUUAAGUUUUUACAUAUCUUUCGUAAAAGUUCGUUAGAGUAUGAAAAUGUCGAUACAAUUUGUCAUGAAUAACUUAAAUUUUAAGAUUUUCGCGCAUAAAAUUAUGACGCGCGCUGUCUGUGCGGCGGCGUAAUUCGCUACUCGUAUAGCCGUCUCGCUUCUUCUUGUGUGUGCUUUACCGUUGCUCACCGCUUCAAGAACAUUGCUGCUCACACACACGUCAGUCUGUGGCAAACAAUUGGAGGGGGAGGAUGUGUCGGUUUGCUCCAGAAAUCGUGUGUGAUUUUGGUGAUCUGGAUUUGGUUCCAUCGCUGUUUGUUUUGGUGGAAUUGAAAAGAUAAGAAUCAUCAACCGAUGUAAAACUGUGAGAGUAAGAUGAUGCUGAUGGUGACUGAUUAUUUUCUUUGUUUCUUUUCCUGCUUUCAUCCACUGAUGGCGUCGAGCAUCGCCGAGGAUGUGAUCGAAUGCGGAAUAUUCUAAACAAGGAGCUUCAUUCCGGAUUUUGUUUGCAAUAAGCGCUGAACUAAUCCUCCAGCUUACAACGAACGGUCAACGGAAGAGGAAGGAGAGGAGGGACGGCAAAGGUACACGCAUAAACGUGCACACAUCAGCCUUCUGGGAGAACGAGAACACGGGAGGGGGAGACCGGCAACGUAUAGAACCUUUACGCUCCCUCGUGCGUUCGUGCGUGCGCGCGCGCGUCUAUGUGUGUGUAUGUGUGUGCAUGACUGCGUGCGUGACUGUGUGUGUUUUUGCCGCUUCGCAUAACGAGAUCCUACGGGAUCACCUUACAAAAAACACCAAGAGAGGGGGAGGGGUAGGUGUAUGUGUAUGUGUGUGUGUAUGUGUGCUUGCAUGCGUGCGUGGCUGUGUAUGUGUGUGUAUGUGCGCUUGCAUGCGUGCGUGGCUGUGUAUGUGUGUGUAUGUGUGCUUGCAUGCGUGCGUGGCUGUGAGCGUGAUUUUUGCUGUUUCGCGAUCUCCUACGGAAUCACCUUGCGAAAACACGAAGGGGGGGGGGGGGGGGGGUGUGUGUGGAAGCAUGCUUGCCUGCGUGCUUUGUAUGUGUGUGUGUUUUGCGUUCACGUUCUACGGGAUCACUUUGCGAAAAACACCAAGGGGAGGAGGAGGUGUGUGUGUGUAUGUAUUUUUUUUCUUUGCCGAUUCUCUCGCGGAUCUAGUUGUGUGCGUUAGUUUUUCUUUAGUUUCUUCGAAAAAUCUUCGAAAAAUACCUGGGGGAGGAUGUGUGUAUGAAAGAAUGUACUUCAGAAAAGAAAGUGAAAAAUAAAAAACGAAUAUAAAAUAUGUUAAACGAA